rnacentral:lncRNA from 1 species
CGCUUCAGAGGUUUGGAGGGGGCCGGAACCUCAAAAGCAACUGGAUGAGCACAACGCGGACGCCCCGGAGAAGCGGCGCAAGCGGGCCCAAAAUGGUUGCUGAUCAGACGAGUGGCAUCUCUCGCCCCCCUACCGCGGGAAUUGGGACCUCCAGACUGUGCCUGGGGGAUCGGCAAGUGGUUCCCCUCUGGUUUUUUCGGCGCUGCCUUCCCGGUGGUUGGAGAUGGCUGGAAGAAAUGAAAAGAAGAACGCCAACAAAGGCGAUAAAGAAAAAUUCAACACUGCUUGAUAACUGAUGAGAUAGUGAAGGAGUAGGAGGGCAAAAGUCAGAAGUAAUUCCAGGUGUUCAAGAACUAAAUGCUGAAGAGAUGUUAGUGUCGUUGACGGUCUUCUAAUGGGAAGUGAAUUUCAAUAGAAAGAGGAUGUGUUUGGUUUCAGACAGAUCGAGUGACUGGUGACAACAGGAAAGCCACGUGUUUGGAGCAGAUUACUUGGUACAGUCAGCAGCUGGAAUGGAAGUGAAGAAGGCCCAGCAGAGCAUCAGACCUGAGUGCAAACUAUGGUGGUGUUGGUGGAAUAGAGGGAAGGGAGAGAUUUGAGAGACAUUGGGAAGAAAGGUUUUGGUUUUUGAGACAGAGUCUUGCCCUGUCAUCCAGGCUGGAGUGCAGUGGCAUAAUCUUGGCUUACAGCAAACUCCACCUCCCGGGUUCAAGCAAUUAUCAUGCCUCAGCCCCCUAAGUAGC